rnacentral:rRNA from 1 species
UACGUAGGGACCAAGCGUUGUUCGGAGUUACUGGGCGUAAAGGGCGCGUAGGCGGCAUGACAAGUCACUUGUGAAAUCUUCGGGCUUAACCCGGAACGGCCAAGUGAUACUGUCGCGCUAGAGUGCAGAAGGGGCAAUCGGAAUUCUCGGUGUAGCGGUGAAAUGCGUAGAUAUCGAGAGGAACACCAGAGGUGAAGACGGGUUGCUGGGCUGACACUGACGCUGAGGCGCGAAAGCCAGGGGAGCAAACGGG